ACUCAAUUUGCUUAGUCUUUUUUCUUUAAAACUUUCUUCCAUUGAAAUAAGGAAUGAUCUCAUCUGUUUUUAUAA